rnacentral:rRNA from 1 species
GGGGAAUAUUGCGCAAUGGGGGCAACCCUGACGCAGCCAUGCCGCGUGAAUGAAGAAGGCCUUCGGGUUGUAAAGUUCUUUCGGUAUUGAGGAAGGUUGUUGUGUUAAUAGCACGACAAAUUGACGUUAAAUACAGAAGAAGCACCGGCUAACUCCGUGCCAGCAGCCGCGGUAAUACGGAGGGUGCGAGCGUUAAUCGGAAUAACUGGGCGUAAAGGGCACGCAGGCAGACUUUUAAGUGAGGUGUGAAAUCCCCGGGCUUAACCUGGGAAUUGCAUUUCAGACUGGGAGUCUAGAGUACUUUAGGGAGGGGUAGAAUUCCACGUGUAGCGGUGAAAUGCGUAGAGAUGUGGAGGAAUACCGAAGGCGAAGGCAGCCCCUUGGGAAUGUACUGACGCUCAUGUGCGAAAGCGUGGGGAGCAAACAGGAUUAGAUACCCUGGUAGUCCACGCUGUAAACGCUGUCGAUUUGGGGAUUGGGCCUUGAGCUUGGUGCCCGAAGCUAACGUGAUAAAUCGACCGCCUGGGGAGUACGGCCGCAAGGUUA